UAUCGAUCCUUUAGGUCUGAGAAACUUUCAGCUAGAGGUGUCAGAAAAGUUACCACAGGGAUAACUGGCUUGUGUCAGCCAAGCGUUCAUAGCGACGUUGCUUUUUGAUCCUUCGAUGCCGGCUCUUCCUAUCAUUGAGACGCAGAAGUCUCAAAGUGUCGGAUUGUUCACCCACCAAUAGGGAACGUGAGCU
rnacentral:ncRNA from 1 species